AGCGAACGUUUGCGGCGGGCUUAACACAUGCAAGUCGAACGAGAAUCCCUUCGGGGAGGAAAGUGGCGCACGGGUGCGUAACACGUGGAUAACCAACCCAUUGGUUUGGGACAACACCGGGAAACUGGUGCUAAUACCAGAUGUGUCGCAGCUGUCCUCAGGCGGUUGCGAGAAAGGCCCGCAAGGGUCGCCAACGGACGGGUCCGCGUCCCAUCAGCUAGUUGGUGAGGUAAUGGCUCACCAAGGCAAAGACGGGUAGCUGGUCUGAGAGGAUGAUCAGCCACACUGGAACUGAGACACGGUCCAGACUCCUACGGGAGGCAGCAGUGGGGAAUAUUGCGCAAUGGGCGAAAAGCCUGACGCAGCCACGCCGCGUGAGCGAUGAAGGUCUUCGGAUCGUAAAAGCUCUGUGGGGGGAGAAGAAGAAAGCCGGUGAAGAGCCGGCCCUGACGGUAUCCCCUUACGCAAGCACCGGCUAAACUCCGUGCCAGC
rnacentral:rRNA from 1 species